UACAGAGGGGGCAAGCGUUAUUCGGAAUUAUUGGGCGUAAAGGGCGCGUAGGCCGCUUUGCAAGUGACGGGUGAAAUCCCUCGGCUUAACCGAGGAACUGCCUGUCAAACUGCAUGGCUUGAGACCGGGAGAGGUGAGUGGAAUUCCCAGUGUAGCGGUGAAAUGCGUAGAUAUCUGGAGGAACACCGGUGGCGAAGGCGGCAUCCUGGACCAACACUGACGCUGAGGAGCGAAAGCCAGGGGAGCAAACGGG
rnacentral:rRNA from 1 species